GGAAGGCCGAGGCCUGCGUGCUCAGCCUUCGGGGCAGCUGAGAACUUAGUGUGCCCGGCGACAUCCCACACCCGAAACGCAGCCCCGCGCCCCCGCCAGCCGGGAGUGCGUCCGGAAGGGGCUCGCCGGGACGCACCAGGAAAACUUAAUUAACGGCGUUUCUAUGAAUGGGCAACACGGGGCCAGGGUUGCGUAAGCGCGGGCCUUCGCCCCAGGACUCCCGGGAGGCCCAGGCUUGACCGCUCGGUGAGCACUGGGCCGAGCCGGGGCCAAGGGCGCAGCGGCACCAGGUUUCUCCUCGUCACCUCCGGGCUAGGCCGUUUGUUUCCAGUACAAACUCGCAAGCUGCUCAGAUGGCGACCCAUGGGCAAGGUCCAGUGGAACCUCGCUGCACGGGGAGGACGAAACCGGACGUUUGCUCGCAAACAGAGCCGCAGGGCACACAGACCCUCGUCCAAGUGCGGCCUUCCGUCCCAAUCAGACGCGUCGGUCCCAGACACUCCCCCGCCUCCACCACGAGGCGUUAUCAGCCUCCGGGCCUCGUAUCUACACCACACUCACCCACUGCAAGUCACCUAAAGUAACUCGGCGAGGGGAGGGCGACGCUUGUUGGCAUAAAUAAAAGACCAGCGAGUUCGGCCAUAUUUUUUUAUUCA